UCUUCAUUCCUCGUACUCUCUCACCGGUCACAGUGAUGAGAAUGCGCGCGAAAUGAAGAGA
rnacentral:pre_miRNA from 1 species